GGAAGUUUCCCAGAAGUCAGAGUUUAACAUAUGAUUGCUAUGUCUAUGUAAAGAGAGUGAUACAGGAGUGAGAAUCAUCUGGUGGUAUCAGGCCCCUCAGGUUGAUAAAUUUCUCACCUUGUAAUGUUCAUUGAUUGUGUCUUCUUUCUUGAUCUUUGAUUGUGUAACAUUCCCUUACUUUAGAGCUAAUGCAUGCUAAUGCCAUUACGUUCCACAUCUUUUACAGGUAGGCACUUGACAACUACCUGGUUAUGGGCUAUGCUUGAAAAGAAUCCACUGAGAGUUGAUAUUUAUUAGUGUUUAUCUAAUUUCUUCUUUAAAAACAGGGAUAUCCUCUUUUCUUGAAGUUUUAUUUACUACUUCUGUUGAGGCAAACCAACUUUCUUUUUAGCUACUGCUCAUUGCUGCUUAUAUUAGUGCUGAUCAUUUUAUCUUUCUUCACACCUUAGUAGCUGUUCAAUAUUAUCUUAAUUUCUUUAGGUGUUAGCUAGAUCAAUGGUUAUCCGAGCUGUGGAUUGAAUUUGGUUCCAGUCAGUUGAUCAUGUAAUAAGCCAUAGAGGUCAAGUAGAUGUUCUGAAGUAUGGAUGAUGGGUAUAUCAAUUAAUUAACAGCUCCAGUAAUUUGUAGGGUUUCUGCACUGAAGCACAUGAUAAUAGUGAAUUGUAGGGUCACUUUGUGAAGCUUAUAAAAUCCUUUUAAUAGCCGACUUUAACAUAUAUCUUUAGCAAGUUUGUUGUGUUUUAGGAAUAUCCUGUCAUUUGUGCUUUGUUUCUGUACAUUUGUUUGCCCCUCCUUGUCUUUCUCUUGCCUGGUAUUUGAACUAUGUUGUGGUUAUGUUUUAUUUGAAGGUAUGCUCGUCAAGUUGUUGAUUUCUUUGGAUUUGUAAAGAAGAAGAAAGAAGUUACACCAGGAGCUGGAGAAUAAGGGAAAUCAAGCACUGGUUAUUCUGCCAUAGGAAUAGUUGAAAUUGCUUCUGCCGCAGGAAUUGAUGAAAUUGCUUCUAUCAUUAGCUACAAAAUGGGGAGAUGUGUUGGAUAUAAAGAACUUGAAAGUUCAUCAUUUGAGUGGUGCUAUGACUAAUGAGUUUUAUAGGAUAAGUGGGCCUACUAAGAAAGAAAACGUCUCUAGAGUUUUGGUUCGAUUGUAUGGGGAAGGACUAGAUUGUUUCUUCAAUAGGGAUGAAGAGAUUAGAACUUUUGAGUGCUUGUCAAACAAGGGUCAAGGACCUAAGCUUCUUGGUCAAUUUGCUAAUGGUAGAAUUGAGGAGUUCAUUCAUGCAAGGACACUGUCUACUGAAGAUGUUUGUGACUCGGAAAUGUCUUCUUUGAUAGCUGAAAAGCAAAACUGAGGGAAUUUAAUAGCCUUGACAUGCCUGGUUCAAAGAAUGUCCUUUUAUGGGACCGUCUCAGGAGGGGAGAGCUUGUAGAAAGAAGAUAAUGAAGACGACAACAAAGAAAAACUAUGAAGAUUAGUCAAGAAAUCGAAGAAACUCAACAAAUUAAGAGAACUAUAAUGCAAAAAAGAUAGAGAAGAACAUUUGAUGAUGGUAUUUCUAUUGAAAAAUAAUUUGUAAGGUAUCAAACGUUA